AGAUACAGCAUCCAGUCUACUACAUGCUCGAUCCCACCUGAUCUUGGAAGAUAAGCAGGGUUGGGCCUGGAUAAUACUUCGAUGGGAGACCACGUAGGACGACCAUGUGCUGUAGGCA
rnacentral:rRNA from 1 species